AUUGAACGCUGGCGGCAGGCCUAACACAUGCAAGUCGAACGGAGCGGCGGCCGGGUGAGUAAUACCUAGGAAUCAGCCUGGUAGUGGGGGAUAACGUUCGGCAACGGACGCUAAUAACGCAUACUAUCCGAUGAGCCUAGGUCGGAUUAGCUAGCUGGUGAGGUAAUGGCUCACCAAGGCUACGAUCCGUACCUGGUCUGAGAGGAUGAUCGAUCACACUGGAACUGAGACACGGUCCAGACGCCUACGGGAGGCAGCAGUGGGGAAUAGUGGACAAUGGGCGAAAGGCUGAUCCAUCCAUGCCGCGUGUGUGAAGAAGGUCUUCGGAUUGUAAAGCACUUUAAGUUGGGAGGCGUGACCGACAGAAUAAGCACCGGCUAACUCCGUGCCAGCAGCCGCGGUAAUAC
rnacentral:rRNA from 1 species